rnacentral:lncRNA from 1 species
AGGAUGUCCAGUGAACAUGAGAAUACAGAGACGUUUCCCUUUGAACUUAUAUUUCAACACUUCAAGAGACAGAAAGUGGCAAUUUCUAAUGCAAUAAAAAAUCCAUUUCCUUUUCUUGAGGGCCUCCGAGAUCAUGAAUUAAUCACUGCUAAAAUGUAUGAAGAUCUUCAAGAUUCGUAUAGAGCCCUGGUCCCUGUAGACAAAGUGAUCUACAGAGCCCUGGAUGAACUGGAGAAGACAUUCAGCAUGAAGGUCCUCUGUGAAGUGUUCAGUAAUGUCAACAUGGAGAAAUAUCCAGAUUUGCAACUCAUCCAUCAAAGCUUUGAACGUGUUACCAAAUGGAUUGUGUUUCCAAAGGAGUGAUGGAGGAGACCCAAACUCCCAGCUGAGUCUUGAACAAGGACCUAAUGGCAGCUGUUCUCAAGCAACCCUGACCUUGUCACCCUUCAAUCACUCCUUUUCUGACGGUCUGUCCUUGCUGAUUCUAUAAACACUGCUGUUUCCUCCCCUGGGCCCCACUUUGCCUUUGUUGCUGUGAUACAGCACCAUGACCAAAAGCAACUUGGGGAUGAAAGGGUUUAGCUCAUCUUAUAGAAUGCUGUGCACUGGCUUGCUCCCCAUGGCUUGCUCAGCCUGCUUUCGUCCAUAUCUGAGGACCACCUACACGGGAUGACAACACCCACAGCGGACUGGACCCUCUCAUGUCAGUUAUUAAUCAAGUGGCCCUCAGGGUCUUGCCUACAGGCCAAUCCGAUAGUGGAAGUUGUCCCCAUUGAGAGUCCCUCUUCCCAGAUGACCCUGUCUUGUUUUGUUGACAAACAAAAUAGAAACAAAAAAACCAUCCACACAC